AGUUAAUGAGCUUGAAUAAGCAUGUAUUUUGAAAAUACAACAUAAAACUAAAAUUUUAUUAACUU
rnacentral:tRNA from 1 species